rnacentral:rRNA from 1 species
UACGGGGGGGGCAAGCGUUGUUCGGAAUUACUGGGCGUAAAGGGUUCGUAGGUGGCUUGCUAAGUCAGACGUGAAAUCCCUCAGCUUAACUGGGGAACUGCGUCUGAUACUGGCGAGCUUGAGUGCAGGAGAGGAACGCGGAAUUCCAGGUGUAGCGGUGAAAUGCGUAGAUAUCUGGAGGAACACCGGUGGCGAGGGCGGCGUUCUGGACUGCAACUGACACUGAUGAACGAAAGCCAGGGGAGCAAACGGG